CUCUCUCCUCCUCUUUCUCUCUUUCGCGUGUUCUUUCUUUUUCGACCUCUCUCUUUUCUCGUCUCACCCAUGGCAAAUUCAACCAAAAUCAACAUAAGUUAGCUGAUUCGAUUAAGAAGAUCUCUCAGAUCGUGUUUUGCUUUCAUCGAAUCGAACAGAGAGAAGAAGUUCUUAGAGAAAGCCGAGAUUAUUAGGGUUUGGAGAGAAUUUAACAAUCAGUAUUUUGAGAUACUUUGUCUCUAAUCAAAGCUCAUAAUCUUAAAAUUGGUGCUAAUUUUAUCCCGCCGAGAUCAUUCUGUUCUCGGAGAUUCUACUUUAGCAACGAGGAGAUGACAAUAAAACUGAAGACUUGGUGAAUCUUUUGUCCGAACCAAAACUUCAACUAGAAGAUGGCAAGCAUCACAUAGCAAGUAGAGAUGGCAAAUCUUUUGUUUGAACUAAAACUUUGUAAACACUUUAAGUUUGUUUUUCUGUCCAACACAAAUGUAAACACUUUUGUCCAAAACCACAACUCUGUUUCAUUCAAAAUUUGGUUUAACCAAAACUUGAUAAAGAAGAAAGAAGAAGA